CAUAGCGUCUUUACAACAGCAGUCUAUAAAUCAAACUUUUAAAUCUCACAUCUCUCACAAAGUCCCCUCCCACAUAUUUUUCACCAUGACUGGCAUCUGCUCCGUCCAAUCAGCGCGCUCCGUGGCAACAAGGGCAGGUUCUUUAGUUGUAUUUUAACAAGCUAGGUUGCAAACCCAUAGUCUGAGCUCCUCCAUACAAGCACAUACGAGCGGUGCCUUGUUUUGGUCUCAGUAGAGGCUUCGCUUAAAAAGGAAAAUCCAACGAAUUUUGGAGGAACUAAUCUGCAGUUUGAAACGGGCAUCGGUACGUUUCCGUUGUAAAUAACGGCUGUGCAAAAUUUGCGCGCGUGCUUUUUUUAAUCUCACUUUUUGGAUUUUUGCAGACGGACGUUUGAUCUCCGGGGUAAAUAGGGUCGUACGCUGCUGACUGCGCUUGUUUUGAUGGUGCUUUUGGAUCUCCCAACUAAAAGGGACACUUGUAAAAAAAAAACAACAACAGAAAAAAACUUUUGGGGGUCUUUCCGGUACUUGCAAUAUCAUUUUCAGGACCGAUUGAUUAUUUUAAUUUAGUUGUAACAAUGUAACAUGCUGCUGAAAAAAUCGACGAACUGUACUAAGGUGCUAAUUUAAUUUCUUGUCUAAGCACACAAAUAUUUUUUUUUUUUAGUGAGAUGUGCAAAUAUUUUUUUUUCCCAAUGGAAACAGUUUUAUGUCUGCGUUCACAUUUAGUGAAGAAUUCAUGCCCGAUGCUUUGACUAUUAAUCCAAUAAUAUCUGUAUUUUCUACCAUGGCAAGCCCGACCGCCGAGCUAGGAUGUUUUUCCGACGUGAAAAAGGUGGGAUAUUUAAGGAAACCCAAAAGCAUGCACAAACGGUUUUUUGUGUUGCGGGCGGUGAGCGCCUCCGGGCCGUCCCGAUUGGAGUAUUACGAAAACGAGAAGAAAUGGAGACACAAGUCCGGUACGCCGAAAAGGUCCAUUCCGCUUGAGAGCUGCUUUAAUAUCAACAAGAGAGCGGAUUCAAAAAACAGACAUCUUGUCGCCCUUUACACCAAGGAUGAGUACUUUUCCAUCGCCGCCGACAGCGAGCUGGAGCAGGAGUUGUGGUAUCAAGCCCUUGUGGAGCUGCAUAACAGAGGAAAAGUCCACGAAAGCGCCGCGGGCCGUGGUGUUGGCGAGGAUAAUUACGGCGAGGCCACGCCGGGACCUGCCUUCAAAGAAGUUUGGCAAGUUAUUUUGAAACCAAAGGGUCUUGGUCAAACAAAGAACUUGAUUGGUGUUUACAGACUGUGCCUGACCAAUAAAACAAUCAGUUUUGUGAAACUCAAUUCUGAUGCAGCCGCAGUGGUGCUGCAAUUAAUGAACAUUAGGAGAUGCGGUCACUCUGAAAAUUACUUUCUCAUAGAAGUUGGGAGGUCUGCAGUGACGGGGCCUGGGGAGUUUUGGAUGCAAGUGGAUGACUCGGUUGUGGCUCAAAACAUGCAUGAAACUAUAUUAGAAGCCAUGAAAGCCACGAGUGAGGAGUUCAGACCCCGCAGCAAAAGUCAGUCAUCUUCCAACUGCUCAAACCCCAUCUCAGUACCUGUCAGGAGGCAUCAUCACAACAAUCCUCCCCCCAGCCAAAUUGGAUUAGGCAGACGCUCUCGGGCAGAGAGUGUGACAGCAGCUUCUCCUGUUAGGUCUGGUAAACACAGUCAUUCAUUCAGGGUGAGAGCGUCCAGUGAUGGGGAGGGCACCAUGUCAAGGCCAGCGUCUGUGGAUGGUAGUCCUAGCAGCCCAAGCACGGCACGGCCUCAGUCACAGCUGCAUAGGGGUGGAUCCAGGCUUCACCCGCCACUGAAUCACAGCAGAUCAAUCCCCACGCCCACCUCACGGUGCUCCCCCUCAGCGACCAGUCCCGUCAGCCUGUCUUCCAGCAGCACCAGCGGCCAUGGAUCCACCUCUGACUGCCUUUUUCCACGGCGCUCUAGCGCCUCCAUAUCUGGAUCGCCAAGUGAUGGCGGUUUUAUCUCCUCAGACGAAUACGGAUCUAGUCCUUGUGACUUUAGAAGCUCCUUCCGCAGCGUGACGCCAGACUCACUUGGCCACACCCCACCUGCCAGAGAGGAGGCGAUAAACAACUACAUCUGCAUGGCCAAGCCGGGUUCACUUACUGGGAGCCAAUCCAGAGGAACACCAUCUAAAGUGGAGGAGCACGAGUUGGAGAAAUGUUUCAGGAAGCGAACUCUUUCUUCUGGUGCAUCGCCGCCAACUCCAUGCCACCAAAACACUCAAUCCCAGUCUUCUACUGCAUCGCUGGAUGAGUAUACUGUAAUGAUGCCUGCAUAUCCUAGAAGCCGCUCUGCUUCUUCAUCAUCAUCAACAUACAAGAUUUCAUUUAUGCCAACACAUUCAUACCCAGAGGAAGGAUUAGACAUGUCAAGAGAUAAAGAAAACAGUGGGCCAGAUCACAAAGAUGAUGGCUACAUGCCCAUGUUGCCAGGUGUUGCAUCUGCAACCCCAACAGUGAAAAAUGGUGACUAUAUGCCCAUGAGUCCAAAAAGUGUGUCUGCACCACAACAAAUUAUCAACCCCAGGCAGCACUCACAUGUUGACUCCAAUGGACAUGUUGACCCCAAUGGCUACAUGAUGAUGUCACCAAGUGGUAGCUGUUCUCCAGAUGGCACAACAAACUAUGGCAAGAUCUGGACUAAUGGCAUCAAGCUCUCUAUUGAGAAUAUGGAAGGAAAAGUGUCAUCUUGUGGAGAAUACAUGAACAUGUCUCCAGCUAGCUGCUCAACAACCAGUACACCACCAGACUGCUUCUUCAACCCUGUUGAGGAUCAUUCCAGGCCUAUGUAUUCCUACUUCUCAUUGCCUCGCUCCUUCAAACAUGCCAACAGGAAGCAGGAUCAGAGUCCACUUCGGAUGUCACUGGGUUCCAGUCAUAUUGCUUAUACAGAUUCCUCCUCAUCUUCAGCGAGCAGUGACAGCUUGGGUGGUCAAGGCAACUCACAAAAUUCUGCUGUCAGACCCAAAAGGUCAGAGGGUAACAGUAGGCUGACACGUCCAGCACGGCUGUCACUGGAUGCUAGCAAAGCAAGUACUCUACCAAGAACACGUGAGAGUCCCUUCCCCCCAGAACCCAAAAGUCCUGGGGAGUAUGUCAACAUUGAGUUCAACGACAAGGCGUUUUCAGCGAGUUUAGCAUCGCUUUUCCCAUCUGUGUUUACUGGAAGUGACGCUGAGGCCCCGUCAGACCUUUCAUCAUCUGAGUACAUGAACAUGAAGCUGGGGUCACAGGGCAGACGGCUGAACCUAGUAAAGCAGAUUUCCACAUCCUGUUCAGACUAUGCCAUCAUCACCCCAUCAAGCACAGUAUCUUCCACUCCUUUGCCAUGCGAGACCAUCUGUCAGCGUGACUACAUCAGCAUGCAGAUGGGAUCCUGCACUCGCUAUCCUGAUACACAAAUGAUGCUGAUAUCAGAGGGCUUGCCAGAUGUUGAAGCCACUCCCUGUUCCAUAUCACCCAAUCAUGACAUCACAGCAUUAAGCGGCACCCCUGGAGGACCAACUUUAAUUGGCCCUCUGUCAGGGCUUAGUGCAUUCACACGGGUUAACUCCACAUCUGGGUGGAACCAAGGGGCUAAAGUUAUCCGCGCUGACCCACAAGGAAGGAGGCGACACAGUUCAGAGACUUUUGCAUCCACAACGACCAGAGGGUUGGUUGACACAUCAACUACUUGUCAAUCAGGUGGUGUCAAGCGCCACAGCUCCGCCUCUUUCGAGAAUGUUUGGUUGAGACCUGGUGAGACUUCUGCUAUGGCCAGUGGAGAAAGGGAAACUACUUCAGGCCCAGUUCCCACUUUAAUGAGUCAUGACCAGAAUGGCCUGAACUACAUAGAUCUGGAUCUAGUACAGAAUGGUGAGCAGCAUGUUCCAGACUGGAAUGUGUUCCAAUCUCAGCCAGUGGAGCUGGUAGCUGUGGAAGGUAUAGAGGAGCUCAGUGCCUACGCCAGUAUAAACUUCCAGAAAUCAGAUGAGACCAGAGGGAAUCUUACACACAGAGAAGUCAAUGGUGACUGAGGCCAACAUACUGCCUAACAUCUCAUUUUGUUUUCCAUGAAGGAAAGAAAGUCAUACAGAAUGAAGAGUAGAACAGCAGCUUCAAGCAUCAUGAUUUUCAACCUCUUCCCAUUCACCACAAGCCGGACCUCAAAAAAGACCUCAAUAAACACUAACCUCAUUUUCCUGGAUCACACUAUCAGCCGGAUGCUACCAAAACCAUAUGGACACUACAAAACCGGACCUCACAGAUGCUGGAUUCCACUAACCAUAAAUCUGCAACCGCUUGGACUUGGAACCGCACUUUCCAUGUGCACACCUCUUAAGACAUAACAGAACUUGGGCAUCACUGUCCAGCUAAUAACUGUUACAUACUUUGAAAUGUCUGUUAAAUUUCUACCAUCAUAAAUGGUACAAAAGCAACUUCCUACAUAGUUAUAAAGUCAAUGGUACUGCAGUAGUAGUUUCUCAAGCAAUGUUACAUUUUUGAGUUCAUAUUUAUGUAAAAGAUGGUACAUGAUUAGUAGCAAAUGUACAACAAAUGUUUUUGGUACAGGGAUGCUCUACUAACAGCCAUUUUGUGUUGGGUUUUUACUACAGCGUAAUGCCCUAACAGUGUUAGAUUGUACCAUUUCCUUCGGUACUGCCAGUUAUUUCCAAUACAGAUGGUACUACAUAUUACGAUAACUCACAAUUACACACACUUUUAUACACCCAGACGGACAACCUCAAACAUCCAGACUUGAACUCAGGACUUUAAAGAGUUUACACACACAAACACACACACUGUGUUUCAGCACAAGACCGACCUCAUGCUGCCAAACACUGUGAUGUCCGUCAAACCCUUUGAAUUAAUUUCAAAGUUUUAUUUCAUACUUGGCCACAUUGAUUUUGUCCCCUUUAAUUUUAUUGAUUACCUUUUACAUCACAUUUCUACAGUAUGAGUACAUAUUGGCUUCCAAAUA